GACGAACGCUGGCGGCGUGCCUAAUACAUGCAAGUAGAACGCUGAAGGAGGAGCUUGCUUCUCUGGAUGAGUUGCGAACGGGUGAGUAACGCGUAGGUAACCUGCCUGGUAGCGGGGGAUAACUAUUGGAAACGAUAGCUAAUACCGCAUAAUAGUAGAUGUUGCAUGACAUUUGCUUAAAAGGUGCAAUUGCAUCACUACCAGAUGGACCUGCGUUGUAUUAGCUAGUUGGCGAGGUAACGGCUCACCAAGGCGACGAUACAUAGCCGACCUGAGAGGGUGAUCGGCCACACUGGGACUGAGACACGGCCCAGACUCCUACGGGAGGCAGCAGUAGGGAAUCUUCGGCAAUGGACGGAAGUCUGACCGAGCAACGCCGCGUGAGUGAAGAAGGUUUUCGGAUCGUAAAGCUCUGUUGUAAGAGAAGAACGAGUGUGAGAGUGGAAAGUUCACACUGUGACGGUAUCUUACCAGAAAGGGACGGCUAACUACGUG
rnacentral:rRNA from 1 species